rnacentral:lncRNA from 1 species
UAUAAUCUACUUCUCAUUAAUGGUGGCUUGAAAAGUGAAACUCCCUUCGUAUUGAGCAACUAGCAUUCUAGAGCAAUGUUGCAAGUCUUUCUUCUGGCUUUGUGUGAGUGCUCCCCCACCCCAUUUUCUGGAGAGCAUGGAGAUGAUUUGAGAAACAUUGUUGAAACAGCAAAAGUUUUUGACAGAUUUUGGUUUCAGGUAAUUGUAAACACAAAAUUCGUUACCGAUCCAUAGUGCAAAUGGCCUUUUUAUCCUUUUUAAUUCCUUGAACUCCAGUUUGUGUUAUACGGAUGAUACAAGAUCCUUUUAUCGACUUGUUCCAGUUCAUUUACUGCCAGUGGCUUGCAUGCAUCGCCAUUACCUGCUGUUAAAUCAAAGAUCUUGAUCCAGUACCAGUAGAAGCUGAUAAAAUCUCAAGGUCGGCACUCGAAAGUGGAAAAAAGAAAAAGAUGUGUUAACUGCUUUAUGUUGUUUUGAGUACGAUAUGGUCUGCAUCAUUUGAAAGAAAUUAUUGCGUCAUUGUUGGAUAGAAACAUCCACUGUUGCAUUUAACUUGUGAACUGCAACGACAUAGAACCUUUGUCUUUGUUUUUGUUUUCUUUUAAUUGUCAAUUCGUUGCAUUGAAUAAAGUUGCUUGCCUGCUCUAAGAACAUCCUUG